AGAGUUUGAUCAUGGCUCAGAUUGAACGCUGGCGGCAGGCCUAACACAUGCAAGUCGAGCGGUAACAGAAAUUAGCUUGCUAAUUUGCUGACGAGCGGCGGACGGGUGAGUAAUGCCUGGGAAUAUGCCUUGAUGUGGGGGAUAACUAUUGGAAACGAUAGCUAAUACCGCAUAAUGUCUUCGGACCAAAGAGGGGGAUCUUCGGACCUCUCGCGUCAAGAUUAGCCCAGGUGAGAUUAGCUAGUUGGUGGGGUAAGAGCUCACCAAGGCGACKAUCUCUAGCUGGUCUGAGAGGAUGAUCAGCCACACUGGAACUGAGACACGGUCCAGACUCCUACGGGAGGCAGCAGUGGGGAAUAUUGCACAAUGGGCGAAAGCCUGAUGCAGCCAUGCCGCGUGUAUGAAGAAGGCCUUCGGGUUGUAAAGUACUUUCAGUCGUGAGGAAGGGUGUGUAGUUAAUAGCUGCACAUCUUGACGUUAGCGACAGAAGAAGCACCGGCUAACUCCGUGCCAGCAGCCGCGGUAAUACGGAGGGUGCGAGCGUUAAUCGGAAUUACUGGGCGUAAAGCGCAUGCAGGUGGUUCAUUAAGUCAGAUGUGAAAGCCCGGGGCUCAACCUCGGAACCGCAUUUGAAACUGGUGAACUAGAGUGCUGUAGAGGGGGGUAGAAUUUCAGGUGUAGCGGUGAAAUGCGUAGAGAUCUGAAGGAAUACCAGUGGCGAAGGCGGCCCCCUGGACAGACACUGACA
rnacentral:rRNA from 1 species